rnacentral:rRNA from 1 species
AACGUAGGAGACAAGCGUUAUCCGGAGUUACUGGGCGUAAAGCGCGCGCAGGCGGUCGAACAAGUGCGGCGUGAAAGCUCCCGGCUAAACUGGGAGAGGACGCAGCAGACUGUUGGACUCGAGGGCGGUAGAGGGAUGCGGGAUUCGGGGUGUAGCGGUGAAAUGUGUAGAGAUCCCGAGGAACACCAGUGGUGAAAACGGCAUUCUGGGUCGCUGCUGACGCUGAGGCGCGAAAGCUUGGGGAGCGAACGGG